rnacentral:rRNA from 1 species
GCAUAUCAAUAAGCGGAGGAAAAGAAACCAACAGGGAUUGCCCCAGUAACGGCGAGUGAAGCGGCAACAGCUCAAAUUUGAAAUCUGGCCCCCAGGGCCCGAGUUGUAAUUUGCAGAGGAUGCUUUUGGCGCGGUGCCUUCCGAGUUCCCUGGAACGGGACGCCAUAGAGGGUGAGAGCCCCGUCUGGUCGGACGCCUAGCCUGUGUAAAGCUCCUUCGACGAGUCGAGUAGUUUGGGAAUGCUGCUCUAAAUGGGAGGUAUAUGUCUUCUAAAGCUAAAUACCGGCCAGAGACCGAUAGCGCACAAGUAGAGUGAUCGAAAGAUGAAAAGCACUUUGAAAAGAGGGUUAAAUAGUACGUGAAAUUGUUGAAAGGGAAGCGCUUGUGACCAGACUUGGGCCCGGUGGAUCAUCCAGCGUUCUCGCUGGUGCACUCCGCCGGGUUCAGGCCAGCAUCAGUUCGCCGCGGGGGAAAAAGGCUUCGGGAACGUGGCUCCUACGGGAGUGUUAUAGCCCGUUGCAUAAUACCCUGGGGCGGACUGAGGUUCGCGCUCCGCAAGGAUGCUGGCGUAAUGGUCAUCAGCGACCCGUCUUGAA